CUGUUAUCUUUAUAAAUAAACAAAACCUGUCCUUAUCAGUGCGAGCGAGCGUGCUUUUACAUAUCAGCAAUGAGCGUUAAAUGCCAUCGGAGUUGAAAUGAUUUUAUUGUAGAUUAAACAUUUCAUUUGCUGUGUAAUGGUUUAUUCCUACAGAAAUGUGUAGUUCUACAUGAUAGCUAAUGCCAUUGUAAAUCAGAACAGUUCAUUAAUUAUAUUUUUAAAUAAUGGUAUUUUAGCUCUGUUGCUCGUUAAAAAUUGUCUUUUUGAAGGAUUUGUGUACCAUGUCUUAAUAUUUUAUCCAUAUUAUGGCUGAAGUUCUUGUGAGUUACUUCAUUAAUUGCAAAACUUCUAUAUCAUUAUCAACUUAAUAUUUGAUUAUGGCAAACCAAUAUGCGAAAGUAAAGUAUUCCAUUUACAACAGUCGCAGUAUUCAAGCAGAAAGUGAUGAUGAGCAUAGUGAAAAAAGUUUAAAUACAAAAUUUGUUUCACGAUCUGCUAGAUAUGGUGGAGAUGUAAAAGUGCCUUUAGCCUCUGUACCAAAGUUAAAAAGUUUUGAUGAGAGUGGAGCUCCCAUUAAACCUUUCGUAAAAUUGCAUCAAGAAGCACGAGAUGGCAAUUUUGAAAAUUUGAAACUCUUUUUGGAUAAUCUGAGUCCAGAAGCAUGUAGGUCAAAAGUAAAUGAGUUAGAUGACAAUAAGCGUGCUCCUCUGCACUACGCUGCUCGUUAUAAUCAUGUCACUGUGACCGAACUUCUUUUGCAAAAGGGUGCAGAUGUAAACAUAAUCGGAGAAGAUGGGUUAACGCCUCUUCAUUUUGCUGCUCGUUAUGGAUACAGUAAAGGAUCAAAAUGCUUGAACAUUGAAAGUCCAACCAAUUCUUGCAAAACUGUCAUUUGUAUGUUAAUUGAAGAAGGAGCCUCCGUUAAUGUUCAAGAUAAUUAUGGCAUGAGUCCGCUGCAUUAUGCUGCAAUGAGAGGCAAUAUAAUUGCAACUAGUCAGUUGUUACAGUGUAAUAAAAUAAAUACUGAGGUUUCUGACAAACAAGAAAUGACACCAUUACAUUGUGCUGCAAAUUACAAUAGUCCUGAAGUAGUGGAACUGUUACUGAAUGCCAGUGCUGAUCCAGAAGCUAAUGAUGAAAAUUUAUCAACUCCUUUGCACUUGGCUGCUAAUACUGGUAACAAGGAAAUAGUUCUCCUCCUACUUGAAGCAGUUGAAAAGCAUAAUGAGAGGAAGCUUAAGGAGUAUAUUGAAGAAAAAAAUAUUAGUGGUAAUACUGCCCUUCACCUUGCUGUAACUAAAGGACAUUUAGAAGUUGUCAAAUUGCUUCUCAGCAAAGCUGCUAAUGUGAAAGUUACCGUGGAUGAUGAUUCACAGCCUCUGCAUUUAGCUGCAGUUUCCAGUAAUGUGCAAAUUGUAAAAUGCUUGAUUGAACAUGGAGCUGAAGUAAAUUGCCUAAACAGUUAUGGAGAAACUCCUCUGCAUAAAGCAGCUGCAUUUAAUGCUGGGGAUGUAAUUGACUUUCUUCUUUCGAAUGGAGCUGACAUUGAGAAGAGAGAUAAUGCUCAUUUUACUCCUCUUUUGAUUGCUGUGGCUGAAGGGCAUGUAGAAGCUAUAAUAACCCUAUUAAAAGCAAAUGCUAAUGUCGAAGUUGUGGACAAUAUGGAUCGUACUGUUGUUUUUUGGGCUGCUCAGGAAAACCAUCCUGAAGCUCUGAUGGUUUUGUUAGAGAAGGGCAGUGUGAAUGCCCUUAUAAACAGGUGUGAUCAUUACGAUAAUAGUCCUCUUCAUAUAGCUGCUAUAAAAGGUUUUACUCAUAUUGCUGAGAUCCUUUUAAAUAAUUGUGCAGAAAUUGAAAAGAAAAAUGAACAUGAACAAACACCUUUGCACUUAUCUGCAAAAAAUGGGCAUGUAAGUGUUGCUCAACUUCUAAUAAGUCAUUCUAAAACAAUUGUGAAUGCUGAAGAUGAAAAUGCAAAUACUCCAUUACACCUUUCCUCACUGAGUGGGCAUUAUCAAGUUGUACAUGUUUUGUUGAAUGCUGGGGCUAAUAUUCAUGCCAGGAACUGUUACUUGUGGACAGCCUUAGAUUGUGCAGCAGUGCGUGGCUGGAAGCGUUGUAGCCAGAUUCUUCUUAAUGCUGGAUGUCCUGUUGAUCCUCUUGAUAAAACAAAAACUACACCUCUGCAUUUGGCUGCUCGUGAAGGUCAUAGAGGUGUUGUAAAGCUGCUUCUAAAACAUGGAGCAAAUAUUGCCCAAUGUGACAAGAAUGGAAAAAAUUGCUUAGAUUUGGCAGUUGAUAAAGGACAUGAAGAAGUUGCUAUGGCAAUUCUGUCAGAUGAAAGAUGGGAGACUGUUUUGCGCAAUGAAUCAGAUAAGAAUAAAUUCUGUGUGCAUGAGACACCAUUACGUAGAUUGAUCCGUCAAAUGCCAGAUGUGGCAGAAUAUGUUUUUGACCGAUGCAUCACGCACAAUGAAUAUCCCGAAGAUGAUCGUAGAUUUGCAGUCCAUUUCAAUUAUGAGUUUUUAGAUGAUACAUUUGCAUGUUACAAACCUCAUCUGUAUGAAGAUAUAGACCGAAAUGACAGUUCAUCCAGUUCAGGAACAAGUAUAUAUACUGGUUCUAACAUAUACAGUGAAGGUGGACAUGUAAGAAAGAAAGUGAUGCCUUAUACUAGUGAUAAAGAAGUGCUGAAAGAUAAUCAUCCUUUGAUGUUGAUGGUAACAUGUAGGAAAGAGCAUUUGUUGAGUCAUCAGUUAUGUGAAAGUUUGCUUAUGCACAAGUGGAAAAAUUAUGGUCGUUAUGUGUACUAUAGCAAUCUUCUUAUCUUUGUGUUAUUUUUGAUUGCUCUAACUGGUUAUGUAGUAUCAUCUACCCCACCUUGUCCUCUAGAUGCAAGUGAAGAAAAUGACCCAAAAUGCUGGUUGGAGGUAUUGACACACUACUCAUCAUUUAAAAGUUUGGACUCGUCUUCAUUCAUAUACAAGAUGUCAGAAAGGAUGGAUGACUGGAACCCACCUGAAUCAUGGAAGAGCAUAACUUGCAUCAUGAUGAUUCGUGCCGGCCAUCAAAGUAGGGAUAUUAUGACUGCUGCCCAAUGCUUAGUGAACACAGUAAAAACAAUCAGGCAUGAACAAGAGACUUGAAAUGGUGACUACAAGGAUGUAACAAGAAGAAAGAUCCCUAGCAGACGAUCUGAUUGCUUUCUUACAGCAGAAUUCCUCGCAAAUCUGCAGGAACAGGUGUUGAAGAACCCUGGCAUUGGAAUUCGGAAUUCCCAGGAAGACUGUAGCAUCAGCUUGUUAGAGGUUUUGAAGCAGGAUUGAAGCUGUGAUCGAUCUAAUAUAUCAUAAGCAACUACACUUGCCAGCCUUUUAUAGGAAACUGUGAUGCAGAUUUAGAGCAAGUAUUUCCCAAACUGUGCAAAAGCUGCAUAUUUAUAUUUGCAGUAAUACAUUUACUG
rnacentral:misc_RNA from 1 species